CUCGUCGUCUCCCAUCUCCGAUGGCGGCAGAACGAUACUGCAGUCCAAGAAGUUGUUGAUGGCAUUCAGCAGGUCCUGCCUGUCGUCCGCCAGCACACCCAACCAAGGCCGCCAUCUUGUGGCGUAUGUGAGCGAGUUUUACAGCUUCUAUUUAGUUGGACUUUAUAUUCAGACAUGAGGGUGGAGAUUGAGCGUCCAAUCUGAUGGUAGUCCAUGCUGGUGGUUGGAGGUCCAAGCAGAACGAAGAGGAAUCUGAC